CAUUUCCUUUCAACCAAAGUAUGGGUGUCAAACAUACGGCUCGUGGGCUGGAACCGGCCCACAACGAGGUUCGAUCAGGCCCCCAGGAUAAUUUAAACAUGAAAAAAAUACAUAAAAGACAAGGAAUGAAUAUUUUUAAUAGGCUGCAAUUCAUAGAUCAUCUGCUAGGGGGAACACUGUGGCCCACAAUGUGAAAAUGAGUUUGACACCCCUGUGUAUUUUUUUAGAUGUAA